rnacentral:rRNA from 1 species
AGGCAGCAGUAGGGAAUAUUGGUCAAUGGAUGGAAGUCUGAACCAGCCAUGCCGCGUGCAGGAAGAAGGCCUUCUGGGUUGUAAACUGCUUUUGCCAGGGGAUAAAAAUUCUUUGCGAAGAAAAUUGAAGGUACCUGGUGAAUAAGCACCGGCUAACUACGUGCCAGCAGCCGCGGUAAUACGUAGGGUGCAAGCGUUGUCCGGAUUUAUUGGGUUUAAAGGGUGCGUAGGCGGCCUUGUAAGUCAGUGCUGAAAUAUCCCGGCUUAACCGGGAGGGUGGCAUUGAUACUGCAGGGCUUGAGUUAAGUUGAAGUUGGCGGAAUUGACGGUGUAGCGGUGAAAUGCUUAGAUAUCGUCAAGAACACCGAUAGUGAAGACAGCUAACUAAACUUUUACUGACGCUGAGGCACGAAAGUGUGGGGAUCAAACAGGAUUAGAUACCCUGGUAG